GCGGCGAUGGUGUAGUGGUAACACGUCCAACUUUUGAACACGGACUCCCCUGGUUCGAUCCCAGGUCAUCGCC